UGCACCUUUCAGUUAAUUUGUUGGUUAAGUGAUUUCAUUUAAUAUGAUGCAGGGAUUUAUUGCAACCACCUACUAAGUAUCUUGGUGCCUUUAUAUUCGCCUGUUGCUCUUCUCUUUAGCUCACACCGUCAUCUCAUCAUAUCUCUCUGCCUUCCUCUCGCUAUUGUUUCUCUCUAAUCUUUGUCAUCUUCAUCUCCGUUUCUCCAUCAUGUCUUAUGUUUUUACUUGGAAGUUGAGUGACCUUCAUCCAUCAGACACUUGCUAGGAGAUCCGUGUUCGAGUGAAUCAUGGUUUUCUGAAAACAAAGCUCGAUAUCUAUGGAGCAGAGCAUGGCGAAGAAAUUACUUUCACUUGACUUUAUCUUUGUUGAUAAUCAUAGUGAAAGGAUGCUUGCUUCAGUAGUUGGGGACCAUCUCAUCUAACAUUUCUUUGGAAGCAUUGAUGAGGGAAAGUGCUACUAUAUCAAGGGCUUUACUGUUCAACUUGGGGGUGAAGGAUUGAACAACCACUGCAAGAUUAUCUGUGGAGCUCGGACUGAAGCAGAGGAGUGGGACGUCUUGAUGGUUGAGCAUGGUUUCUGAAAAUCUUCUUAUUGGUUCUAAUAUGCAGGGAUUAAAGCCAUAAGGAACUUUUCUCCAACUACUCGUGUCUUUUGGAGUCCUGAAUCUGUUGAAGCUGGUCAGAAGAUUGCUGCCCUUGUCCAAGCUUACUCUCCUAAAUGAACUCCAUGAUGAUCAGCCUCUUUUGUGUUUAUUUUUGUUUUUAGGCCCAUGAUAUGUGAAUUAAAAGAACCAGUUAUCUUCUUUAGGACUUAUGUUGUCCUACUUCAAUAGUCAACUAAUAUUUUCUCAUCUUUUAUUUUCUGGCUCCACUUUUGUAAUUAUCCAUGCUGUUUCUUUUAUAUUAUGUGGACGAUUCCGAUUCUCUUGUGGUGGGAAUAUUUAGUGUUGAUAUGAACAAGUUGUGGCAGUGUUUCACUUUUCUCUUU